rnacentral:rRNA from 1 species
UACGGGGGGGGCAAGCGUUGUUCGGAAUUACUGGGCGUAAAGGGCUCGUAGGUGGCCAACUAAGUCAGACGUGAAAUCCCUCGGCUUAACCGGGGAACUGCGUCUGAUACUGGAUGGCUUGAGUUCGGGAGAGGGAUGCGGAAUUCCAGGUGUAGCGGUGAAAUGCGUAGAUAUCUGGAGGAACACCGGUGGCGAAGGCGGCAUCCUGGACCGACACCAGACUGAGGAGCCGAAAGCCAGGGGAGCCAAACGGG